rnacentral:sRNA from 1 species
AAAAUGAGCAAAGAAAGAAGUGAGGAGGCCGUUGGCAAGCAGGGAACUAGAGCAGCCCAGCCAACCAGACUUACCGGCCCUAUCUGCAAAGCUGCACAGCACUGUGUAUGAGCCACACAGCCUUGAGCAGGGAGCCCCACCUCUCCAUGCCGGUUUCCUCAUCAGUGAAGCUGGGGAUGACAGUCCUUGUCUCUGCACAUGAGGUUUUCCAAGGAUGAAAGGGGACCACAUGCAAAGCACACUUAGUACUAUGCCCAACAGAUAUUAGCAGUGACGAUGCCAAUGUGUGUCUUUCUGCUAGUUUGGAGUAUAUCCAAGAGAUCGCUGGCUGCCGAACUGUCCCAGUGGAAGUUGGUUCGAGGUACACAGAUGAGGAAUGGUCCCAGACCCUCAUGACGGUCAACGAGUUCAUCAGCAAAUACAUCGUGAAUGAGCCAAGGGACGUCGGGUACCUUGCUCAGCACCAGCUCUUUGACCAGAUCCCGGAGUUGAAGCAGGACAUCAGCAUCCCCGACUACUGCAGCCUGGGCGAUGGGGAGGAGGAGGAAAUCACCAUCAAUGCCUGGUUUGGUCCCCAGGGAA